UACGUAGGGGGCUAGCGUUGUCCGGAACCAUUGGGCGUAAAGAGCGUGUAGGCGGCCCGGUAAGUCCGCUGUAAAAGUCAAAGGCUCAACCUUUGAAUGUCAGUGGAUACUGCCGGGCUAGAGUCCGGAAGAGGCGAGUGGAACUCCUGGUGUAGCGGUGGAAUGCGCAGAUAUCAGGAAGAACACCAACGGCGAAGGCAGCUCGCUGGGACGGUACUGACGCUGAGACGCGAAAGCGUGGGGAGCGAACAGG
rnacentral:rRNA from 1 species